CCUUAAUUAGCUAACUUUAAAGCUUUAAACUCUUAAUUUAAAAGAAGGUAGUUAAAUUCUACCAUUAAGGA
rnacentral:tRNA from 1 species